CAAUAGCGUAUAUUAAAGUUGUUGCAGUUAGAACGCUCGUAGUCGGAUUUCGGGGCGGGGCGACCGGUCUGCCGAUGGGUAUGCACUGGUCGGCGCGUCCUUCCUUCCGGAGACCGUUCCUACUCUUAACUGAGCGGGGGCGGGAGACGGAUCGUUUACUUUGAAAAAAUCAGAGUGUUUCAAGCAGGCAGCUCGCUCUUGCAUGGAUUAGCGUGGGAUAAUGAAAUAGGACUUUGGUGCUAUUUUGUUGGUUUCGAACACCGAAGUAAUGAUUAAAAGGGACAGUCAGGGGCACUCGUAUUCCGCCGAGAGAGGUGAAAUUCUCAGACCAGCGGAAGACGAACCACUGCGAAAGCAUUUGCCAGGGAUGUUUUCACUGA
rnacentral:rRNA from 1 species